ACUCAAAUGAAUUGACGGGGGCUCGCACAAGUGGUGGAGCAUGUGGUUUAAUUCGACAACAAGCGAAGAACCUUAUCCAGGGCUUGACAUCUUGGGAACCUCUCCGAAACGAGAGGGUGCCGCAAGGAGCCCAAAGACAGGUAUUGCACGGUCGUCGUCAGUUCGUGGCGUGAGCUGUGAGGUUAAGUCCUUGAACGAACGAAACCCUCGUCCUAUGUUGAAUGUUCAUAGGAGACAGCCCUGGUAACAGGGAGGAAGGCGGGGAUGACGUCAGAUCCGCGUGAUCUUUAUGCCCUGGGCUACACACGUGCUACAAUCCAACCUACAAAGGGUUGCCAAGCCGCGAGGCGGAGCUAAUCCCAUAAAAGGUUGGUCAGUUCGGAUCGGAGUCUGCAACUCGACUCCGUGAAGCUGGAAUCACUAGUAAUCGUGAAUCAUAACGUCACGGUGAAUACGUUCUCGAGCCUUGCACACACCGCCCGU
rnacentral:rRNA from 1 species